CCAGUCUCUGGGCGAAAAACAGCAGGGGUUUUUGUGAGUGGUCCUUCUGAGAACAAUGACACUGAGGCGUGCGUGCACGAGACGACUCCAUUUUUUUCUUUCAGUGUUUGAAUGAACUCAACGUCGCGCGUUUGGAAUAUUAUCGUUAUUUUACGCGAAAAAUAGCAUAAACAUUUAUUUUAAACAGCGUUUGACAUGCUUCGAAGUACGGUAAUGGAAUAUUUGGCAUUUUUUUGUCACGAAAUGCGCCUCACCCUUCGGAUAGUGACUUGAACGCACGAACAAAACGGAGCUAUUUGGAUAUAACUAUGGAUUAUUUCGAACCAAAACAACAUUUGUUGUUGAAGUAGAAGUCCUGGGAGUGCAUUCUGACGAAGAACAGCAAAGUUGGUGGUGGAAGGCACAUAUAAUUGUUGCGAACACCAUCAUACAAAAGAAGAAGAUUAAGUUAGCCCGGGGCACACUCCUACACUCAGGCAUAAUUUACAAACAAUUGAAACAUCCUGUCGGGCUGUAUCACCGCCUGAUACGGCAACUGCACCACCCACAACCGCAAGGCUCUCCAGAGGGUGUUGCCGUCUCCCCAAUGCAUUACCGGGGGCAAACUACUCACCCUCCAGGACACCUACAGCACCCAAUGUCACAGGAAGGCCAAAAAGAUAAUCAAGGACAUCAACCACCCAAGACACUGCCUGUUCACCCCGCUAUCAUGCACAAGGCAAGGUCAGUACAAGUGCAUCAAAGCUGGGACCGAGACACUGAAAAACAGCUUCUAUCUCAAGGCCAUCAGGUUAAACAGCCAUCACUAGCAUUUUAGAGGCUGCUGUCUAUAGGCAUAGACUAGACAUCACUGGCCACUUUAAGGAAUGGAACACUAGUCACUUUAAUAAUGUUUACAUAUCUGGUAUUACUCAUCUCAUAUGUAUAUAUUGUAUUCUAUACUAUUCUACGGUAUCUUAGUCACUUAAUGUUUACAUGUCUUGCAUUACUCAUCUCAUAUGUAUAUACUGUAUUCUAUACUAUUCUACUGUAUCCUAGUACGUUCAGCUCUGACAUUGCUGCCCCC
rnacentral:lncRNA from 1 species